CCUACGGGUGGCAGCAGUAGGGAAUUUUCGGCAAUGGGGGGAACCCUGACCGAGCAACGCCGCGUGAAGGAAGAAGGAAUUCGGGUUGUAAACUUCUUUUAAGGGGGAAGAGCAGAAGACGGUACCCCUUGAAUAAGCCACGGCUAACUACGUGCCAGCAGCCGCGGUAAUACGUAGGUGGCAAGCGUUGUCCGGAUUUACUGGGUGUAAAGGGCGUGCAGCCGGAGAGACAAGUCAGAUGUGAAAUCCACGGGCUCAACCCGUGAACUGCAUGUGAAACUGUUUCCCUUGAGUGCAGGAGAGGUAAGCGGAAUUCCUUGUGUAGCGGUGAAAUGCGUAGAUAGAAGGAAGAACACCAGUGGCGAAGGCGGAUUACUGGACGAUAACUGACGGUGAGGCGCGAAAGCGUGGGGAGCAAACAGGAUUAGAUACCCCUGUAGUC
rnacentral:rRNA from 1 species